CCAAAAUGGAUACCAGGAGGUCACGCUCCCUGGCCUCUGUCCAGGUGCGCCGGGGAGCACCCGGCUCAGCGCAGUGAGGACAGUCCCACUCCACAACCGGGCAGACGAAGCCGGGCUCUCGAGCCUGCACCUGUAUGUUCCUACAGCUUCUCAGAGUCCUAUGGGCAGUGACCGAGGAGACAAACCAUGUAGGAAAGAGUU
rnacentral:snoRNA from 1 species